rnacentral:rRNA from 1 species
AUACGGAGGAUCCGAGCGUUAUCCGGAUUUAUUGGGUUUAAAGGGUGCGCAGGCGGCCAUUUAAGUCAGCGGUUAAAUCGUGGGGCUCAACCCCAUUCUGCCGUUGAUACUGGGUGGCUUGAUUGCGGUCGAGGUUGGCGGAAUUCGUUGUGUAGCGGUGAAAUGCAUAGAUAUGACGAAGAACACCGAUUGCGUAGGCAGCUGGCCAGACCGCAAAUGACGCUCAUGCACGAAAGUGCGGGGAUCGAACAGGAUUAGAUACCCUGGUAGGCCGCACAGUAAACGAUGAAUACUUGUUUUCGGCGAUAUAAUGUCGGAGGCAAAGCGAAAGCGAUAAGUAUUCCACCUGGGGAGUACGCCGGCAACGGUGAAACUCAAAUGAAUUGACGGGG